GUGCUCACUUCAGCAGCACAUAUACUAAAACUGAAAUGAUACAGGGAAAAUUAGCAUGGCCCCUGCACAAGGAUGACACAUAAAUUUGUGAAGCAUUCCAUGUUUUU